rnacentral:miRNA from 1 species
GAGUGAGCUUAAGAACACAAGC